rnacentral:misc_RNA from 1 species
UAAACAGUCACGUUCCACUUCUGUGCACCGGGCGCGCGCUAGGCCCACACGGAUACAUAUCGACGCGUCUACCAAGAUACUCUGUCCAUACACGGCCCCCUUGGUCGUGGUGCACUUCUAUGCCUUGUUUUCUUCUCUUGGCGGCCUUUCAGCUUACUCUAAGACUUGCUGUUGCCAGUUACACGCAUCUGUGACGCCUCCACUCGUCUAGCCGAUCUACCGACGCGGACAAACGCACGCCCGGGCGCGCACGUCCCAGUACUCAACAGACCCCGUUCUCCCGCCUUUUCCCUUGCUCGGCUAGGGGGAGUGGUACGCAACAUACAAGGAGACAUCAACACCGACGAAAAAAAAACGCUACACAAAGAGCCGCGUUGUUGAGCAUCUCGACGCUGACCUGCUUAGUGUCCGAUACGGUGCCCAUCUAUGCACGCGGAGCGAUCGCUCGGCGAGCCGAAGCGACAGGCGCGCUUCUCACCGUUGCCAACGUCAGCACCGCUCCUCUCUUUCGACGUGCUGGAGUGGAUCCCCAGCAACAGCGAGUUGCUAGCGCGUCUUCCUGUCGGCCGUGCCGCGUCGGAGUACCCCCCCGACAGCCGCGCGCCCGUGGCUUGUAGUGAGGGGCGAGUACACCCGCGCGACUGCACCGCCUUCGAGUCGUCCUGCGGCUCCUGGACGUGCUUCCGGACACUAUCCCGCUGCGGCGACGCUCUUGUGCUGGAGGAUGCGCAGCUUGUCGACGUUGGUGCCGCUCGCCGGCACGUGCUCACGUGGCAACAAGGCCCAGGCCGCCUCCCAUCAGACUGCGUGAGGACCCGCUACAUUGGUGCUGACAUCGUUCCCCGAGAUUCCCUUCUCGCCAACCGACGCUGUGAGGGAUCGGCGCUUCCUGCACAAUCCCGCAAACAAGAGAUCCCGAUGCAGGAUAUCCACUCCGUACGUCGCCACUGUUUCCAGAAGCCCGUAACGCUUGUUUUUGACGCGAGGGGCCACUCAAUCAGCGGACGGGACAGAGUCGACACGACGGCUCGCGGCGAUCGUGCGAAGUGGGUUCUUGCGCAGCGCCGCCAUCAUCGCAGUAGCGGCUCGGAGAUGGGACUGACUCUGCAGUGGCGCUACGAGCUGUGGGGUCCUGUCGGCGUCAUCUUCACUCUGCGAGGCGGCCGCCGCAUUUUCUUGGCCUUCGCGUCGACGCGACACGCGGAGCAGAUAGUGGAGCUACUGACCAGCUUUGCUACCGGCGCCGAACUUGGUCGCCGGCAGCCGAGUUAUCACUCCCCUCACCAGAGCAGCACUGGCGCAUCCGCGUCUUUUUCGCAAGUGCCCGCGUGGUCUGUCGGUGAUGACAUCCCUUUCGCUGCUUUUGCAAGUGGCCCGCAGGCAGCUCCGCUCUCUUCUGGUGCACUGCAGCGGUGCGCUUCGCCGUCUUGCGUCUCCGUGCACAUCGCGUCAUGCGAGGCGUCCUUGCGAGAGGCGCCGGCAACGCCAUGCUCGCCGCGAGGCGACUCUGCGUUCUCGUCGGCGUGGGCUUUUGGGGCCCACUGGCUCGUCCCUUCGACACCUGCGGGGCCGCAGACAGGAGAGCAACGGCGAAAGACGGGAUCCUUCACGGGUGAAAACUCGCCGUCGCCGCUCACUGAUACCGUGGCGGCGUCGCAGGAAGUGGGAGGGACACUAGCUGCGAGCUCACGUCGUGGCUCGAGCAGGGUUCCUGGCAGCGGGUAUUUGUACUGCCGCCCGUGGGGAGAGGCAUCGCGGUACCUGAGGUACUACCUUAGGGUAAGCACGUCGGCAGGGAGGAGCCACGUUGUCCGUUUCUCGCGGCACCGGCUACGCCUGUGGCAACGGCUGCGGCAAGUCUUUGGAAAUGAAAAGCGCACCGUUUCGCUAGAUAUGCGUCGCACCUCUGUCUGCCCAAGUGUCGCACACGAGAAUCUGUUGCGAGUGACAUACCUGGUCGAGAGUUUUGCCCAGUACAAGAGCUUGCAGCCACUCGGCGGUGGCGUGGUGUCUGUGGGUCCGAUGAGCGACUUGGCUGCCUCGCGCGCUACGCCUCGACGGGAGCUGGAGCUGUGCGCUGGGCACCUGGUAGUCUUCGAAGCGCUGGCCAAGUCACCCGAGGAGAGGACAUCGUGGCUUGCGUGGUUUCGCAGCCGCGGCGCUACGGUGCAAGCACCUGCCGACGCUGCUCAGCUGGGAGAUUAUGCUGGUGCCCUGCGAAUGCCCCAGAAGCCAGUGACCUUUCAGCAACUCGGAGGCGAGCCGCUCCUCGUCACCUCACCUGCGAGCAGACCUGGACAAGAGAUGUUGCUCUCCAGUACGGCGGAUCAGUGUGCGUCGGCCUGGGAGACACCUACCUUCUCCGCAGAAGCGGUGGCUUCUCUGAAGUCACUGUGCAGUGGCUCGCCGCACCUGCCGCUAAAGGAGCAGUCAGAGGGGAGACGAGGCGGCUUUCGAACCGCCGCGGAGACAGCGGCAGCGUUACGGCUGAGCACCCCUUGCCGCACGUAUCCGAGCAAAGCCUUUCCCUCUUUACCCGGACCCCUUCCCGCAGCCGACGAGCACGCCAGCACGCAAACUCGCCCGCAACCACCUUCAGCUGUGGCCUCUGGCAUGGGGGACAGGCAGGAGGAGGACGAGGAGCUGACAAUUGUCGUCGAGGACGAUGUGUUCGACCGGACAACAGCGUGCCCUGAGGCGGCUGAGUCGCACUCACCGUGCUACAUCAUGCAGAGCGAUCCGUCCGUGAUGGAUCACACAGCAGCUCCUCUCCGUCGCACCUCUGCCUCGCUUCUGCUGGAUGAAGGUGCGCGGUGGCUACGGAGCGGCAUUGGGAGCGCCGCCGAGGCGCCGAAUAGCAUAGCCGCGGCGAACGAGAGCUCGAAGGCCGACCACAAGUUCGCUAAUAUCAGGCCGACUAUGGCAGGGCCGAUUGCGGUCCCUAUGUACUUGGAAGAUACUACGUCCUCCGAAGUCUCGUCUCACGAAAGGUUGGAUGCGCUGCCGCCGCAGCUGCCAGCGAAAUCCAAGACGAGCAAGAUUCGGCCAGGCGCUAACGAAACACCGCUGGAUCACACGGCUGCUGCGCAAGGGGCGGUCGGUACUCCACUUUUCACUAUGGAGGUGAACAACGCAGGGCUUCACACACCUGUAUCGACAGCCAAUGGCAGUGCGACGCCAGCGCCUCUCAAAGCCUCAUCAACCGUUGUAGCGUCAGCGUCUGUGCUUGCUGAGGAGCAUCUAGACAGGUGCAGCUCUUCCAGCGGCGUUAACACGCCGUCUCGCGCUUCCGAGCCUGAGACAGCGGUUUUCACGACUACCGCGCUGGGGUCUUUGGUCGCCGGGUUGCCGCAGCGGAUGUGGCAGACGCCAAACAGAAGCUCUUCACCAGACGCCACGCUCGACGCGGCCCCGCCAGCGGCGCUACAUAGCGGCGCCGGGAAGCCGGCACGCACGAGCACGAAGUCGUCCUCCGCGUCUCAAGCACCGCCGGCGAGCUCGCCAGGGAUGAUGGGUCACCAGCUGCGCCAUAAGGAUGCAAGGAACAGACUUGCUUUUGAGAACCGCAAAAUCCGUGAUACUUCGGCAUCGUGCUCCUCGGCACCGUCGUCACGGGGCAGGCUUGGCAAGGGCGACGGAGAUACAGAUGACGCACGGAUCUCUGACGCGUCGUCUUCAUUUUCUGCUCUAGACCGUGGCUCUCUGUCAUCGUCGAGCUCAGCAGUGGACCAGCGGCUGUCGCAAUUCCUCGAACCCUGUGUAAACGAGACGAGCCCGGACCAAGUGGGUGGUCGCUACCGGGGUGAUGGUGUGUCGAUCGGGGUGCCGUUAACGCCGUUCGAUCUUCACCUGAUUCCAUCGAGAGAGUACCGUGGCAAUCAGGCCACCGCUCUCCGCCUGCAGGGGGAGGCGUCUGCGGUGUAGUCGAGCGCCAGCAACAGCGGGCGCGCCACCCCACUUUUCAUUAGAAGCAGCUGUGCGAGCUUAGAGCAGACACCGGGUGGUAGCCGGGCGCAUGGCUUGGCGGUUGCUACGACCCCUCUUCAGCUCCGGACAUCCAGUCGUCUUCGACGGGGCGACAGCGACUAUUUUAACAGCCCGCUUACGCUGGAGCGUCAGGAGGUUAUGGAGCCGCGUCGGCACUCCUUCUGCGACUCGCUAUUUUAUGCACUAGAGCUGAGUGACAUGGCGUCUCCUAUGCGCCGCAGAGCAAUGUUGUCCUGCUUUGUGGUACGCUGCGCAAGGCAGGGACACUGUCGAGGAGGCGCGAGGUCGCACUGCCGAUCCGCUCAUGGAUCACUCCCCUUCUCUCUCAUAAUGCAUCACUGAUUAGUGGACGCGUUGCAUGCUCCCUUUGCCUUGCCUUGUGGGUACGCCGGUGGGUUGUAUGUUUCAUGUUUCUUCGCCCGGCGAUGUGGUACACUUAACGCUUCCUCAACAGAAACAUCAAAACAAGCUCCGUCGCCUGUCUUCCUUCUCGGCCAACAGCCGGCCUUCACGAUCAUACUUGCCGCAUUCCCCCCAUCCCUCGUGCUGCUCUCUCUCACACAUAUACACGCGUAGAAACAACAUGCAGGCAAGUGCGGUGCCACUGCGCGUUGGAUGUGUAAAGACGCAAGCAUAAAUCGAAUCUUGUCUCCCUUCGCCCCGAAAAGAACAAAAAGUAACAACGCGUUGCCAGAGGUCUGUCGUGGCCGAGGAAGGCGGGUGUCCAAGGCCCCAGAUACGUGCUGUUGCGGGG